GACGAACGCUGGCGGCGUGCUUAACACAUGCAAGUCGAACGGAAAGGCCUGCUUUCCCUUGUGGAUUGCGGGUACUCGAGUGGCGAACGGGUGAGUAACACGUGAGUGAUCUGCCCCCAACUUGGGUAUAAGCCUGGGAAACUGGGUCUAAUUCCCGAUAGGACUGCAGGGUGGUGCCUGUGGUGGAAAACGAUUUUCUAGUGGUUGGGGAUGAGCUCGCGGCCUAUCAGCUUGUUGGUGGGGUAAUGGCCUACCAAGGCGGCGACGGGUAGCCGACCUGAGAGGGUGGACGGCCACAUUGGGACUGAGAUACGGCCCAGACUCCUACGGGAGGCAGCAGUGGGGAAUAUUGCACAAUGGGCGGAAGCCUGAUGCAGCGACGCCGCGUGGGGGAUGACGGCCUUCGGGUUGUAAACUCCUUUCGACCGCGAGGAAGCCACCUGGUUGGAAGGGUGGUGACGGUAGUGGUAGAAGAAGCACCGGCUAACUACGUG
rnacentral:rRNA from 1 species